ensembl:misc_RNA Y_RNA Y RNA
GGUUUGUCUGAAGGUACUGAUUCAUCUCAACUGAUUCAUAGUCAGUUGACGAUCAAAGUCCUUGUUCUACUCUUUCUCAGUACUGCACUUGACUAGUGUAAA